rnacentral:rRNA from 1 species
AUUGAACGCUGGCGGCAGGCCUAACACAUGCAAGUCGAGCGGAUGAAGGGAGCUUGCUCCUGGAUUCAGCGGCGGACGGGUGAGUAAUGCCUAGGAAUCUGCCUGGUAGUGGGGGAUAACGUCCGGAAACGGGCGCUAAUACCGCAUACGUCCUGAGGGAGAAAGUGGGGGAUCUUCGGACCUCACGCUAUCAGGUGAGCCUAGGUCGGAUUAGCUAGUUGGUGGGGUAAAGGCCUACCAAGGCGACGAUCCGUAACUGGUCUGAGAGGAUGAUCAGUCACACUGGAACUGAGACACGGUCCAGACUCCUACGGGAGGCAGCAGUGGGGAAUCUUGGACGAUGGGCGAAAGCCUGAUCCAGCCAUGCCGCGUGUGUGAAGAAGGUCUUCGGAUUGUAAAGCACUUUAAGUUGGGAGGAAGGGCAGUAAGUUAAUCCCUUGCUGUUUUGACGUUACCAACAGAAUAAGCACCGGCUAACUUCGUG